CCGAAUUGUCAACAAGAGUUGUUGCUGGUCCCCGUACGGGGGCAUGUGCACGCUCUGUUUACACAUCCACUCACACCUGUGCACCCUCUGUAGUUCUAUGGCCUGGGUGGGCUCUGUCCUCCUGCUGUAGUUCUACGUCUUUACACACACACUACAACAAAGUAUCAUGGAAUGUAUGCCGCGUUUAACGCAACGAAAUA
rnacentral:misc_RNA from 1 species